rnacentral:rRNA from 1 species
UGGUCAAGUUAUUAAGGGUGCAGGGCGGAUGCCUUGGCACUAGGAGCCGAUGAAGGACGUGAUAAGCUGCGAUAAGCUUCGGGGAGUUGCACGUAAACUUUGAUCCGAAGAUUUCCGAAUGAGGAAACUCACUUAGAGUAAUGUCUAAGUAUCAUUAAGUGAAUACAUAGCUUAAUGAGGGGAACUCAGGGAACUGAAACAUCUAAGUACCUGAAGGAAGAGAAAGAAAUUCGAUUCCGUAAGUAGCGGCGAGCGAACGCGGAUUAGCCAAAACCAAUAAAGUUUUCUUUAUUGGGGUUGCGGACAUAUCAUAACGAAGAGGUAUCGUAAUUGAAGAGGUUUGGAAAGACCCACCACAGAAGGUAAUAGUCCUGUAUGUUAAACGAGAAGACUUUAGAUAUGAUCCAGAGUACCACGGGACACGUGAAACCCUGUGGGAAGCAGGAGGGACCACCCUCCAAGGCUAAAUACUACCUAGUGACCGAUAGCGUAUAGUA